UCAAUCAUAUAAUGAUUGAGUUCAUCUUUAUAUAUAAAUUAUUGAUUAAUGAAUAAAAAUUAUUCUGAUAUUUUUCAUCAUAAAGUUACAUCUUCCUUGAACUCUUGUGUUGUGAUGAAGUUUCUAGAACUAUGUUAGUGUGCGAUAAAGAGAUGAUUUAUCAUAUAGUUUUUAAACAUAUUUGCGAUCAAAUGAUACGUCAUUAUAGGAUGAUGACGUUUAUCGAGUGGAGGUCAUUGUGUACCAUAUGGGUUGGUUGUCCUCUUAACCAAGGAGUGUGGUGACAUUGGUAUGGCAUACAAGUG
rnacentral:lncRNA from 1 species